ensembl:snRNA U2 U2 spliceosomal RNA
AUCGCCUCUUGGCCUUUUGGCUCAGAUCAAGCGUCGUGUCUGUUCUUACCAGUUUUAUAACUGAUACAUCCUCUCUCCGAGGGCAAUAUAUUAAAUGGAUUUGGGGAGCAGGGAGAUGGCCUAGGAGCUUGCUCCGUCCCCUCCAUGCAUCGAGCUGGUUAAAAAAAU